rnacentral:rRNA from 1 species
GGGUUGUGAGGUUAAGCGACUAAGCGUACACGGUGGAUGCCCUGGCAGUCAGAGGCGAUGAAGGACGUGCUAAUCUGCGAUAAGCGUCGGUAAGGUGAUAUGAACCGUUAUAACCGGCGAUUUCCGAAUGGGGAAACCCAGUGUGAUUCGUCACACUAUCAUUAACUGAAUCCAUAGGUUAAUGAGGCGAACCGGGGGAACUGAAACAUCUAAGUACCCCGAGGAAAAGAAAUCAACCGAGAUUCCCCCAGUAGCGGCGAGCGAACGGGGAGCAGCCCAGAGCCUGAAUCAGUGUGUGUGUUAGUGGAAGCGUCUGGAAAGGCGCGCGAUACAGGGUGACAGCCCCGUACACAAAAAUGCACAUACUGUGAGCUCGAUGAGUAGGGCGGGACACGUGGUAUCCUGUCUGAAUAUGGGGGGACCAUCCUCCAAGGCUAAAUACUCCUGACUGACCGAUAGUGAACCAGUACCGUGAGGGAAAGGCGAAAAGAACCCCGGCGAGGGGAGUGAAAAAGAACCUGAAACCGUGUACGUACAAGCAGUGGGAGCACGCUUCGGCGUGUGACUGCGUACCUUUUGUAUAAUGGGUCAGCGACUUAUAUUCUGUAGCAAGGUUAACCGAAUAGGGGAGCCGAAGGGAAACCGAGUCUUAACUGGGCGUUAAGUUGCAGGGUAUAGACCCGAAACCCGGUGAUCUAGCCAUGGGCAGGUUGAAGGUUGGGUAACACUAACUGGAGGACCGAACCGACUAAUGUUGAAAAAUUAGCGGAUGACUUGUGGCUGGGGGUGAAAGGCCAAUCAAACCGGGAGAUAGCUGGUUCUCCCCGAAAGCUAUUUAGGUAGCGCCUCGUGAAUUCAUCUCCGGGGGUAGAGCACUGUUUCGGCAAGGGGGUCAUCCCGACUUACCAACCCGAUGCAAACUGCGAAUACCGGAGAAUGUUAUCACGGGAGACACACGGCGGGUGCUAACGUCCGUCGUGAAGAGGGAAACAACCCAGACCGCCAGCUAAGGUCCCAAAGUCAUGGUUAAGUGGGAAACGAUGUGGGAAGGCCCAGACAGCCAGGAUGUUGGCUUAGAAGCAGCCAUCAUUUAAAGAAAGCGUAAUAGCUCACUGGUCGAGUCGGCCUGCGCGGAAGAUGUAACGGGGCUAAACCAUGCACCGAAGCUGCGGCAGCGACACUAUGUGUUGUUGGGUAGGGGAGCGUUCUGUAAGCCUGUGAAGGUGUACUGUGAGGUAUGCUGGAGGUAUCAGAAGUGCGAAUGCUGACAUAAGUAACGAUAAAGCGGGUGAAAAGCCCGCUCGCCGGAAGACCAAGGGUUCCUGUCCAACGUUAAUCGGGGCAGGGUGAGUCGACCCCUAAGGCGAGGCCGAAAGGCGUAGUCGAUGGGAAACAGGUUAAUAUUCCUGUACUUGGUGUUACUGCGAAGGGGGGACGGAGAAGGCUAUGUUGGCCGGGCGACGGUUGUCCCGGUUUAAGCGUGUAGGCUGGUUUUCCAGGCAAAUCCGGAAAAUCAAGGCUGAGGCGUGAUGACGAGGCACUACGGUGCUGAAGCAACAAAUGCCCUGCUUCCAGGAAAAGCCUCUAAGCAUCAGGUAACAUCAAAUCGUACCCCAAACCGACACAGGUGGUCAGGUAGAGAAUACCAAGGCGCUUGAGAGAACUCGGGUGAAGGAACUAGGCAAAAUGGUGCCGUAACUUCGGGAGAAGGCACGCUGAUAUGUAGGUGAAGCGACUUGCUCGUGGAGCUGAAAUCAGUCGAAGAUACCAGCUGGCUGCAACUGUUUAUUAAAAACACAGCACUGUGCAAACACGAAAGUGGACGUAUACGGUGUGACGCCUGCCCGGUGCCGGAAGGUUAAUUGAUGGGGU